UUGGGGUCCGAGUUGUAAUUUGCAGAGGGUGUUUCGGGCACGGUGCCGGUUUAAGUCCUUUGGAACAGGGCGUCAUAGAGGGUGAGAACCCCGUAUGUGACCGGUCGCCAAACCCAUGUGAAACCCCUUCGACGAGUCGAGUUGUUUGGGAAUGCAGCUCAAAAUGGGUGGUAAAUUUCAUCUAAAGCUAAAUAUUGGCCAGAGACCGAUAGCGCACAAGUAGAGUGAUCGAAAGAUGAAAAGCACUUUGGAAAGAGAGUCAAACAGCACGUGAAAUUGUUGAAAGGGAAGCGCUUGCGACCAGACCUGCUCGCGGGUGAUCAGCGGUGCUUUUCGCGCCGUGCACUCAUCCGCGAUCAGGCCAGCAUCGGUUCAGGCGGCCGGAUAAAGACUCGGAGAAUGUAGCUCCCUCCGGGGAGUGUUAUAGCUCCUUGUGCAAUACGGCCAGCCGGGACCGAGGACCGCGCUUCGGCUAGGAUGCUGGCGUAAUGGUCGUAAGCGACCCGUCUUGAAACACGGACCAAGGAGUCUAACAUCUGUGCGAGUGUUUGGGCGUCAAACCCAUGCGCGCAAUGAAAGUGAACGUGAGGUGGGAACCCUUUCGGGGGCGCACCAUCGACCGAUCCAGAUGUCUUCGGAUGGAUUUGAGUAAGAGCACAGCUGUUGGGACCCGAAAGAUGGUGAACUAUGCCUGAAUAGGGUGAAGCCAGAGGAAACUUUGGUGGAGGCUCGCAGCGGUUCUGACGUGCAAAUCGAUCGUCAAAUUUGGGUAUAGGGGCGAAAGACUAAUCGA
rnacentral:rRNA from 1 species